rnacentral:lncRNA from 1 species
GAAAUAAUUUAAAAUGCACAUGGAGGGAAGUUGUCUUCAAAAUUUUAAAUACACAAAGGAAGCAAAGGAUGAAUAUAUGUGAUACUAACUAGUUAGGAUUAAACUAAAUGUUCGUCUAAGGAUAAGUGCAAGACUUAGGGAACUUUAUUUAGUAUUGGCAUGAAAUAAACCAAAUAAAGCGAAAAGAGUAUAGAAGAUUCAUGUAGCCGAGCCCCAGUGAUGGUGGCCAGUACAAAGAAAGUGGUUUGGAACCUAAUCAUCCUGAUAGCCGUCAUCGAGAGAGGGCAAAGGGGCUAAUAUCAUACAUGACAAGGACAAGAGGGGUUAUCAGUGGUGACUGAUUAAAAGUACAAGUAUGGGAUGGUACGGAGGUGGUGCUCGACUUUGGGCAGUGGACUAAGUUGGCAAUAAUUGGACAAAUAUAUAGUGGUUCCAACUGGGAGCCUACAUGGAUGUAGGGAAAGCCUGGAGCAUCAGCAGGGCAAGUUUUUAACAACCCGAUGUACAAAAAUUGGUCUAUUUAUGUGUAAGUAAAUUUAGCCUUACAAUCAUUUUCAUGUUUCAAGAAACCUAGACACUACAAAACUUGUAGCUUCCAUCUAGAUGGAUCACUUGUGUACAGUUCAUCUCCUCUAACAGAAACAGAUAUAAUCAUGACAUGAAUAUAUUCAUGAGCAUGUGAAGAGGAGAAGCACAGAUGCCCCAGCGAAGAGGCAUGAGAGAUGGGCCUUGGUGGGUCUGAAGAGAAGUAGAGAUAGGCCAAAGAAGUACCGGGGAGAGGUGAUUAGGCAAUAUUUGACAUUGCUUCAGCUUACUGAGUACAUGUCCCUUGAUAGGAAGGUGUGAAGGUCGAGAAUUAGGGUAAAAAGCUAGUAGAAAGUUGAGAGUGUUUCUUCCCACACCAGUAGUAUUAGUAGUUAGUCUUGUAUUCUAUUAUUGUUAGGUCUCUAUUACUACAUGUCGUUCCUUUCGCUUUAUUUUCUUAUUAUCUUGUUGUUGUUAUUGCUUGUUGCUACUGCUUUCUUUCAUCUUUCCUUGAGUUGGGGGUCU